AAGUCGUAACAAGGUAACCGUAGGUGAACCUGCGGUUGGAUCAUUAAAAAAUGUUUGGUCUCGUGCCAAAUCAACAUUGUGUGCACCAUUGUCUGUCCUUGGUAGUUCGAGUGCCCUCGGGGUUCAACGCUCCAGAGCGGCCUACCCCUCUCACCCGCACCGGGGGAGAGACACGGUUGGGCUACCGCCUUUCUUUUGAACAAACCUUUGUGUUUUGCGUUUUUAUGCCUGAACGAAGAGUUAAUCUUUAACGAUUAAUGAUUUGAAUACAACUUUUGACAACGGAUCUCUUGGCUCUC
rnacentral:misc_RNA from 1 species